UCGGGAAUAUUGCGCAAUGGAGGAAACUCUGACGCAGUGACGCCGCGUAUAGGAAGAAGGUCUUCGGAUUGUAAACUAUUGUCGUUAGGGAAGAAAAAGGACAGUACCUAAGGAGGAAGCUCCGGCUAACUACGUGCCAGCAGCCGCGGUAAUACGUAGGGAGCAAGCGUUAUCCGGAUUUAUUGGGUGUAAAGGGUGCGUAGACGGGAAUUUAAGUUAGUUGUGAAAUCCCUCGGCUCAACUGAGGAACUGCAACUAAAACUGGAUUUCUUGAGUGCUGGAGAGGAAAGCGGAAUUCCUAGU
rnacentral:rRNA from 1 species